rnacentral:rRNA from 1 species
AGUGGCGAACGGGUGAGUAAUAUAUCGGAACGUGCCCAGUCGUGGGGGAUAACGUAGCGAAAGUUACGCUAAUACCGCAUACGAUCUACGGAUGAAAGCGGGGGACCGUAAGGCCUCGCGCGAUUGGAGCGGCCGAUAUCAGAUUAGGUAGUUGGUGGGGUAAAGGCUCACCAAGCCAACGAUCUGUAGCUGGUCUGAGAGGACGACCAGCCACACUGGAACUGAGACACGGUCCAGACUCCUACGGGAGGCAGCAGUGGGGAAUUUUGGACAAUGGACGCAAGUCUGAUCCAGCCAUUCCGCGUGCAGGAUGAAGGCCCUCGGGUUGUAAACUGCUUUUGUACGGAACGAAAAGGUUUCCAUUAAUACUGGGAGCUCAUGACGGUACCGUAAGAAUAAGCACCGGCUAACUACGUGCCAGCAGCCGCGGUAAUACGUAGGGUGCAAGCGUUAAUCGGAAUUACUGGGCGUAAAGCGUGCGCAGGCGGUUAUGUAAGACAGAGGUGAAAUCCCCGGGCUCAACCUGGGAACGGCCUUUGUGACUGCAUAGCUAGAGUACGGUAGAGGGGGAUGGAAUUCCGCGUGUAGCAGUGAAAUGCGUAGAUAUGCGGAGGAACACCGAUGGCGAAGGCAAUCCCCUGGACCUGUACUGACGCUCAUGCACGAAAGCGUGGGGAGCAAACAGGAUUAGAUACCCUGG